AUUCUUCUGAGGAACAUUCCUAAAUGAUGAUCGGUUUAUCACGAAUUUUCGUGAAAUGUGCUGCCGCACUGUUACGACAUGAGCACAUUGACCGUCUGAUU
ensembl:snoRNA small nucleolar RNA U13